GACGAACGCUGGCGGCGUGCUUAACACAUGCAAGUCGAACGGACCCUUCGGGGUUAGUGGCGGACGGGUGAGUAACACGUGGGAACGUGCCCUUUGGUUCGGAAUAGCUCCUGGAAACGGGUGGUAAUGCCGAAUGUGCCCUUCGGGGGAAAGAUUUAUCGCCAUUGGAGCGGCCCGCGUCUGAUUAGCUAGUUGGUAGUGUAACGGACUACCAAGGCGACGAUCAGUAGCUGGUCUGAGAGGAUGAUCAGCCACAUUGGGACUGAGACACGGCCCAAACUCCUACGGGAGGCAGCAGUGGGGAAUCUUGCGCAAUGGGCGAAAGCCUGACGCAGCCAUGCCGCGUGAAUGAUGAAGGUCUUAGGAUUGUAAAAUUCUUUCACCGGGGACGAUAAUGACGGUACCCGGAGAAGAAGCCCCGGCUAACUUCGUGCCAGCAGCCGCGGUAA
rnacentral:rRNA from 1 species